GAUGAACGCUGGCGGCGUGCUUAACACAUGCAAGUCGAACGAUGAAGCCCAGCUUGCUGGGUGGAUUAGUGGCGAACGGGUGAGUAACACGUGAGUAACCUGCCCUUGACUCUGGGAUAAGCCUGGGCAACUGGGUCUAAUACUGGAUAUGACUUCUCAUCGCAUGGUGGGGGGUGGAAAGAUUUAUUGGUCUUGGAUGGACUCGCGGCCUAUCAGCUUGUUGGUGAGGUAAUGGCUCACCAAGGCGACGACGGGUAGCCGGCCUGAGAGGGUGACCGGCCACACUGGGACUGAGACACGGCCCAGACUCCUACGGGAGGCAGCAGUGGGGAAUAUUGCACAAUGGGCGCAAGCCUGAUGCAGCGACGCCGCGUGGGGGAUGACGGCCUUCGGGUUGUAAACCUCUUUCAGUAGGGAAGAAGCGAGAGUGACGGUACCUGCAGAAGAAGCGCCGGCUAACUACGUG
rnacentral:rRNA from 1 species